AGGGAUGAGGUCCGGCUCCCGUAGGAGUCCGGGCGGAGUCUUCCCGCAGUUGGAGCUGGAGACGAGUCUGGCUCUCGUAGGAGCCCGGGUGGAGUCCACUUGUAAUCAGAGUCAGGGGUGACGUUCGGCUCCCUUAGGAGUCCGAACGAAGUUCAUCAGCAGUUGGGAUCGAGGACGGAGCCUGGCUCCCGUAGGAGUCCG
rnacentral:lncRNA from 1 species